GAUUUUGUAGAAUAGACAGAGUCGAGACUGUUUUUUGUGAUGCGACAGCGGUGGAAAGUGUAGGAUGUCUUUCAUGUUUGUAACACUGACAGUUCUUUGGUAGUUGUUGUGAAUGAAACGGACUGAGCGAUACGGUAUUUUUUCCAGUAGUUUUUUGUGGUUCUCAUAUCUGGUGUCCCAUACUGACGAUGCAUAACAAAUGAAAGUUGUGUACAGUAGUAGUUUUAGUAAUGAUAGAGCUUGAGAAAACUUGCGGCGAAAGUAUCCUAAUGUGCUAGUGGCCUUGGUGGCUAUGUGAUCAAUAUGAGUUUUCUAUGAUAAGUUGUUAGUAAUAUGAACACCCAAGUUUAUGCAUUCAAGUGGAAUGUUAUUAAAUGCGUAAAUAGGUGAAAUCAUUACAGUGUGCAGGAAAUUCUCAUACUUUCAUAAUUUUUAAUGUUUAAAUCCAUCUGCCAUAACUAACACCACUUAGUUAUGUUAUUAAGAUCUUUCUGAAUUAGUGAAAUGUCUGCAACAUUAGUUAUUGUUCUGUACAGGAUGCAAUCAUCUGCAAACAAACAUAUUUUCGAGGAUACAUUAUUAGGCAAGUCAUUAAUGAGGAAUAGCAAUGGCUCAAGCACAGACACUUGCGGGACACAGGAAUCAACAGGAACCAUUGAAAAGUUAGCGUAAUUAGUGGUGACAAAUUGAACACAUGAUGUCAGAAAGGCACAAAUUCAAUUAAUUAUAGCUUGGUAGAUGUUUAGUGCAUGGUUCACUUAAAGAAGUUUCAGAGGCUUUAGCUUCCUGUCUGUAGAAGGGAUAUUUUCUUGAUAGGGCUAGAUUUGAACAUGAGUGCCCCACUUCCAAGGUGAGUGUCCUGGUCACUGAGCUGACUACUGACAUCAAUUAUCCACGUUUAGCCAAAUUCGUCGGACCAUGUUUUAUUUUGACUGCUGCCACGAUACUGUGCUUUGGCAUCAACACAUGUCUCAUUUCACGCAUACUUUUCAUUGCCAAAUCUGCGAUUCAGACAUGAGGAUCCUGGCUGUGGACCCACUGCGACCGGGGUCGGACUAUGACGUCCGCGUUUGGAGGACCAACUGGUUGCGGCGUCGGUUCCGGGAGGGACACAUUAUCGCCGGCGGGACACCUCUAUGUCUUAGAGGCCAUCGCCUCAACGCCAACUGUUUGGUGACAGCAACUAUCCUUUGGAACCAUGGCUCCUAACUCCUAUCCCAGGCCAUCCUCCCACACACAGCUCCAAAGGCAGGUACAACGGUGCGCACACUGCCACGUGGAGUGUUGUGCAACGUUGCAUCAGGCUCCUGAAGAGCCGUUUCCGCUGCCUUCAACAAUGCCACCCUUUUCACUAUGAUCCGGAAAGUGCGGCUAACAUUGUCACAGCGUGUACAGUGUUGCACAAUCUGCGUCUCGACGAAGGUUACAGCACGUUUGAAGACGAGUUCAACAUCGGUGCUGCUGACAGUAGUGGUGUUUUCUGCCCACUAGAAAUUCCGCGACGCUGGUCGUCGCUUGUAACUUAUCAUCUUGGACAAGCUGUCCCGGAUGGUGUUGUCAGCUCAUUUGGCACAACGCCGAUGCAGCAUCAGUUGUUUGUGAGAAAGAUACGGAGGAAGCUGCGCCGACAGCAGUACGUGUAUGCCUGUCUAGCUCCUUCUUCAGAACACAGGUGCCCAAUAGAAAAGAAGCAGCAACAAUAAGUGUGAGUGAACUGUGCACACCUGCUGCUGUUCAUCACACAUUGCUAAUGUACUGCCAGAUUUUUCAUGCAGUCUUUGACAGUAAGUAGUGCUUAUCACAGGCACCUGUGCCCCUCCAGUGUGACAAUGUUAUCCAUUUAGCGGCAGCAGAUAGACCAUGUUUCAUGUGCAGCAGUGGAAUACCACAGCCACUUCGCUAGCAAGCUGCGCCACGCCAGUGUGUGUGCUGCUGUCAUCAUCACCGACAAUGACACCUUCAAUUCAUUAUCCAUAACAGAAUGUUCAUUUUCAUCUCCUUGUGUCCUUUCCUGUGUAGAAAAAUGCACACCACCUUUUGCACCAUCAUCUGAACUGUUUUGUGCACAAGCCCUCCGCGGUGACCUAAUGGCUAUGCUGUUCCACUGCUACCCCGCGGAUCGCAGGAUCGAAUCUCCAUCGGUGGCGGCUGAAUAUUCGGUGGAGGCAAAAAUGCUUUAGGCCAGGUGCUUAGAUUUACCUUAUAUACUCGCGUAGUUAACACUUUUUUUUUUAAUUGAAGCAAUACUGGGAGGUGCACUCAUUAUAAGUGGCAAAUUUUAUGACAACUUUUUUGGGAUGAGCAAAAAAAUGCAGUAAUGUAAAAAAAAAAGUUAGGUAGCUUAACCUUUCCCAAUUGAUGUACGCUGUUUGGAAACAGCUUUUUAUUGCGAUAGAAAUUACAGUACAUGGACACUCUCAGCUGAAUUUUUCUACUGAGGUUGCAGUCUGCUGUCAUUCACCGUAUAAUUAUUUAUAAAUAAAUACUGCGAUCCUUUAGUUGAAAGAUCGUGGCAGGGUGGAAAAAAUGUUCGAGAAUCCGUACAUGCAAAGAAAUAAUGAAAACACAAUAAAUCGUAAGAUGUGAGUAUACAAGGCGCAAGUUCAAAAACGCUUAUUUCAACAACUUUUUCGAGUAACAUAACACAUAAUAACGUAACACGUAGAAUACGAGUUACAGACUAACACAAUAAUUACAGUAAAACAGGUAAUACAAUGCAAUGUGUAGUGAUGGUUUAGGCGAUGCUGUUUUCAAACAAUGACAGUUUCUUGUGUAAAAUGACAUCAUUUGUCAGGCUCUUCUAGUCAUUAAUAGUUCUAGGGAAGAAUGAAUACUUGUAGCACUUAAUCCAUGAAGGUAAAGGAGUUAUCGCAUAUGUAUACCUAUCUAUAUAUGAAAACGCAAGAAAAAAAACAUUUACAAAAAGACUCCGGUGCACGGAAUCAUCGAACGUCCACCCUUUCCUUCGUGAGCGCGCAACGUUAGCCACUGAGCCACGAAAAAUCCCCUCCAACGUUAAUACGGCAAGCUAUUUAUACCUAUCACUUUGCACUGGCGGUGCCUGUCUUGGGGGAAAUAGUGUGUCUUUAGCACUACCAGCAAGAUGGCACAAUGAGCGUGCUAGGCGUAAAGGUCCGAACCCAGCUCGUCACGAUGCACUCAUGAGCGCUCCACGAAAGGAGAGGCCCUUAUCGGCACACUUAUUCUGUGGUAGGGAAGAUCGCGGGCCUUCGGUUUUCACUCGAACGAUUGCAUUUAGUUGCCAGGUGCACAAAGAUCACUUCGCUUGCUGCACAGGCCUUUUUUGAGAAAAGAGCGCACUUUUCAAACAGCGAAGUAGCAACUGGGGCACCUGUGAGUUCACACUCAUAUCUGUACAUGUCAUUACGUUUCGUGCAUCGUUUUUGUUUCAACAGCGCGCUAAGUGUCGAGCUGUGAAUAUUGUUAGUUAGCUCUUGUCCUGUGUGUGUUGUUUUUGUGCGUCAUUUGUGCAUGAGCAGCGCACUGCACAUUUCAAUCUGCUUGCCAUUCUCAGCGUUACAUUCCAAGUUGUGGCUAUCGCAUUCAUUGCUUCGCCUUUGCGACAAAACUAUGACUUUUUAAAAAUUUGUUGCACUUCACUCAUCUUCGGUGGUUGAUGGUAUUAUCUUCUCCAAGCUGUCCCUAUGCACUCUAUAAAAGCUGAUUGCAACCUUC